rnacentral:rRNA from 1 species
CUGCUGCCUUCCGUAGGAGUUUGGACCGUGUCUCAGUUCCAAUGUGGGGGACCUUCCUCUCAGAACCCCUAUCCAUCGAAGACUAGGUGGGCCGUUACCCCGCCUACUAUCUAAUGGAACGCAUCCCCAUCGUCUACCGGAAUACCUUUAAUCAUGUGAACAUGCGGACUCAUGAUGCCAUCUUGUAUUAAUCUUCCUUUCAGAAGGCUGUCCAAGAGUAGACGGCAGGUUGGAUACGUGUUACUCACCCGUGCG